rnacentral:rRNA from 1 species
CAGGCUUAACACAUGCAAGUCGAGGGGCAGCAUGGUCUUAGCUUGCUAAGGCCGAUGGCGACCGGCGCACGGGUGAGUAACACGUAUCCAACCUGCCGUCUACUCUUGGACAGCCUUCUGAAAGGAAGAUUAAUACAAGAUGGCAUCAUGAGUCCGCAUGUUCACAUGAUUAAAGGUAUUCCGGUAGACGAUGGGGAUGCGUUCCAUUAGAUAGUAGGCGGGGUAACGGCCCACCUAGUCUUCGAUGGAUAGGGGUUCUGAGAGGAAGGUCCCCCACAUUGGAACUGAGACACGGUCCAAACUCCUACGGGAGGCAGCAGUGAGGAAUAUUGGUCAAUGGGCGAGAGCCUGAACCAGCCAAGUAGCGUGAAGGAUGACUGCCCUAUGGGUUGUAAACUUCUUUUAUAAAGGAAUAAAGUCGGGUAUGGAUACCCGUUUGCAUGUACUUUAUGAAUAAGGAUCGGCUAACUCCGUGCCAGCAGCCGCGGUAAUACGGAGGAUCCGAGCGUUAUCCGGAUUUAUUGGGUUUAAAGGGAGCGUAGAUGGAUGUUUAAGUCAGUUGUGAAAGUUUGCGGCUCAACCGUAAAAUUGCAGUUGAUACUGGAUAUCUUGAGUGCAGUUGAGGCAGGCGGAAUUCGUGGUGUAGCGGUGAAAUGCUUAGAUAUCACGAAGAACUCCGAUUGCGAAGGCAGCCUGCUAAGCUGCAACUGACAUUGAGGCUCGAAAGUGUGGGUAUCAAACAGGAUUAGAUACCCUGGUAGUCCACACGGUAAACGAUGAAUACUCGCUGUUUGCGAUAUACUGCAAGCGGCCAAGCGAAAGCGUUAAGUAUUCCACCUGGGGAGUACGCCGGCAACGGUGAAACUCAAAGGAAUUGACGGGGGCCCGCACAAGCGGAGGAACAUGUGGUUUAACUCGAUGAUACGCGAGGAACCUUACCCGGGCUUAAAUUGCAGAUGAAUUACGGUGAAAGCCGUAAGCCGCAAGGCAUCUGUGAAGGUGCUGCAUGGUUGUCGUCAGCUCGUGCCGUGAGGUGUCGGCUUAAGUGCCAUAACGAGCGCAACCCUUGUUGUCAGUUACUAACAGGUUCCGCUGAGGACUCUGACAAGACUGCCAUCGUAAGAUGUGAGGAAGGUGGGGAUGACGUCAAAUCAGCACGGCCCUUACGUCCGGGGCUACACACGUGUUACAAUGGGGGGUACAGAGGGCCGCUACCACGCGAGUGGAUGCCAAUCCCCAAAACCUCUCUCAGUUCGGACUGGAGUCUGCAACCCGACUCCACGAAGCUGGAUUCGCUAGUAAUCGCGCAUCAGCCACGGCGCGGUGAAUACGUUCCCGGGCCUUGUACACACCGCCCGUCAAGCCAUGGGAGCCGGGGGUACCUGAAGUGCGUAACCGCGAGGAGCGCCCUAGGGUAAAACUGGUGACUGG